UAGGGAAUCUUCCACAAUGGACGCAAGUCUGAUGGAGCAACGCCGCGUGAGUGAAGAAGGUUUUCGGACCGUAAAGCUCUGUUGUUGGUGAAGAAGGAUAGAGGUAGUAACUGGCCUUUAUUUGACGGUAAUCAACCAGAAAGUCACGGCUAACUACGUGCCAGCAGCCGCGGUAAUACGUAGGUGGCAAGCGUUGUCCGGAUUUAUUGGGCGUAAAGCGAGCGCAGGCGGAAGAAUAAGUCUGAUGUGAAAGCCCUCGGCUUAACCGAGGAAUUGCAUCGGAAACUGUUUUUCUUGAGUGCAGAAGAGGAGAGUAGAACUCCAUGUGUAGCGGUGGAAUGCGUAGAUAUAUGGAAGAAUACCAGUGGCGAAGGCGGCUCUCUGGUCUGCAACUGACGCUGAGGCUCGAAAAGCAUGGGUAGCGAACAGGAUUAGAUACCCUGGUAGUCCAUGCCGUAAACGAUGAGUGCUAAGUGUUGGGAGGCUUCCGCCUCUCAGUGCUGCAGCUAACGCAUUAAGCACUCCGCCUGGGGGAGUACGACCGCAAGGUUGAAAC
rnacentral:rRNA from 1 species